GCAUGUGGGCGUCUGCCCAUGCAAGUCGAACGGAAAGGCCCCUUCGGGGGUACUCGAGUGGCGAACGGGUGAGUAACACGUGGGCAAUCUGCCCUGCACUUCGGGAUAAGCCUGGGAAACUGGGUCUAAUACCGGAUAGGACCUUUAGGCGCAUGUCUUUAGGUGGAAAGCUUUUGCGGUGUGGGAUGGGCCCGCGGCCUAUCAGCUUGUUGGUGGGGUGAUGGCCUACCAAGGCGACGACGGGUAGCCGGCCUGAGAGGGUGUCCGGCCACACUGGGACUGAGAUACGGCCCAGACUCCUACGGGAGGCAGCAGUGGGGAAUAUUGCACAAUGGGCGCAAGCCUGAUGCAGCGACGCCGCGUGGGGGAUGACGGCCUUCGGGUUGUAAACCUCUUUCACCAUCGACGAAGGUCCGGGUUUUCUCGGAUUGACGGUAGGUGGAGAAGAAGCACCGGCCAACUACGUGCCAGCAGCCGCGGUAAUACGUAGGGUGCGAGCGUUGUCCGGAAUUACUGGGCGUAAAGAGCUCGUAGGUGGUUUGUCGCGUUGUUCGUGAAAUCUCACGGCUUAACUGUGAGCGUGCGGGCGAUACGGGCAGACUAGAGUACUGCAGGGGAGACUGGAAUUCCUGGUGUAGCGGUGGAAUGCGCAGAUAUCAGGAGGAACACCGGUGGCGAAGGCGGGUCUCUGGGCAGUAACUGACGCUGAGGAGCGAAAGCGUGGGGAGCGAACAGGAUUAGAUACCCUGGUAGUCCACGCCGUAACGGUGGGUACUAGGUGUGGGUUUCCUUCCUUGGGAUCCGUGCCGUAGCUGACGCAUUAAGUACCCCGCCUGGGGAGUACGGCCGCAAGGCUAAACUCAAGGGAUUUGACGGGGGCCCGCACAAGCGGCGGAGCAUGUGGAUUAAUUCGAUGCAACGCGAGAACCUUACCUGGGUUUGACAUGCACAGGACGCGUCUAGAGAUAGCGUCUGCGCG
rnacentral:rRNA from 1 species